AUUCUUUCUCGGCCUUUUGGCUCAGAUCAAGUGUAGUAUGUUUUUAUCGGUUUAAUAUCUGAUACAUUCUCUACCUGAGGACAAUAUAUUAAAUGGAUUUGGGGAGCAGGGAGAUAGAAUAGGAGCUUGCUCUAUCCACUCCACACAUCAGUCCGGUACUACAGUUCCUCUGGGAGUGGUGCACCAAUA